rnacentral:tRNA from 13 species
GCCGCCGUAGCUCAGUGGUAGAGCGGCUGCCUCGUAAGCAGCGGGCCGGGAGUUCGAUUCUACCCCGGUGGCACCA